AGCGAACGCUGGCGGCAGGCUUAACACAUGCAAGUCGAGCGGGCGUAGCAAUACGUCAGCGGCAGACGGGUGAGUAACGCGUGGGAACGUACCUUUUGGUUCGGAACAACCCACGGGAAACGUUAGGGUCGUAAUAACCGGACGUAAAGCCCUUACCGGGGUAAAGGAAUUUAUUCGCCGAAAGAAUCGGCCCGCGUCUGAUUAGCUAGUUGGUGAGGUAACGGCUCACCAAGGCGACGAUCAGUAGCUGGUCUGAGAGGAUGAUCAGCCA
rnacentral:rRNA from 1 species